AUACGGAGGGUGCGAGCGUUAUCCGGAUUUAUUGGGUUUAAAGGGAGAGUAGGUGGGAUAUUAAGUCAGCUGUGAACAUUUGUGGCUCAACCUUAAAAUUGCAGUUGAUACUGGUUUCCUUGAGUACGGUACAGGUGGGCGGAAUUCGUGGUGUAGCGGUGAAAUGCUUAGAUAUCACGAAGAACUCCGAUCGCGAAGGCAGCUCACCGGGCCGGAACUGACACUGAUGCUCGAAAGUGCGGGUAUCAAACAGGAUUAGAUACCCUGGUAGUCCGCACAGUAAACGAUGAAUACUCGCUGUUUGCGAUACACUGUAAGCGGCCAAGCGAAAGCGUUAAGUAUUCCACCUGGGGAGUACGCCGGCAACGGUGAAACUCAAAGGAAUUGACGGGG
rnacentral:rRNA from 1 species